GGACUCCAUGAAAUGACUGAUCAUUCCAUGUAGCAGAUGAGGAAGAGGAGGCCGAGAGACAACAUAGCGUCCAAGCUCCUACCCACUGUGUCACACUGCCCCCUGCUGAGCACCUACUAAGUGCCAGGCUCUAGAAAAGAGUGGUGUUUGAGACAUUCCAAGGAGCUUCUGUGUGCGUCACAUUUGGAGACUGAGCUGCAGAGAUGUUAAGAAACUGUCUUUACAUAACACAACUAUUAAGAAGAAGAAAGAAGAGGAGGAGGAAACGGAGGAGAACUGAGAAGAGAUAUUUCAUCACAGGUUCGUCUGUACCUCUCAACCACAUGGGUAGAGGAAAAUCCAAAUUCAAUAUGGAAGAGGGGGAAAGGAGAGGAUGCGGAGUUGCAGAAAGAUUUGGGCUAGAGACCCGUCUCCAACAUUCUGGAGUCUGUGCUCAUGCCUGCGAACAUCAGGAUGUUAAUACUUACUUCUUAGCAAUGUUUUGUGAAUUAAAUGCUCUGAUUUUUAUAGGGUGUCUGAAGCAGUACCCAGAACACGCUGUGCCAAGAAUAAAUGUUUAUUAAUGCAAGAGGAAGGAAGGGAUGGGUAUUAGUCUUAAAUUGCUGCCUAACAAAUUACUACAAGCUUGAAUGCCUUAGAAUAAGACUCAUUUUAUUUCACUGAAGUUCUGUUAGUUCAGAAGUCCGGGUGGGCUUGACUGGUUUCUCUGCUGAGCAUCUCACAGAGCUAGAGUCAACAUGUCAGCUGGGCCGGGUUCUUAUCUGGAGACUCUGGGAAUGAAACCACUUCCAAGUUACUUCAGGGUGGUUCUAUGCAAGAUCCUGUUUUUUCUACUUAAUGCUCAUAACAACAUAUGCUAAUUCAUAUCCUCUUUUAUAGAUGAAGAAAUUCUUCAGUCAUUGAACAACUUUCUCAAGGUCUCAGUGUUAGUAAGUCUAAUUGAUGACUUCAAAUUUUCAUUUGAAAGUA
rnacentral:lncRNA from 1 species